rnacentral:lncRNA from 1 species
UAGCGAUAGGGAGGGAUGCGCACUUGGGUCUUGGCACUGGUACUGGGAGGGAUGAAGGUGAGGAAGGGGAGAGGGUUGGUUAGGUAUAUAGUGUGGGUGGUAGGAAAUGCAGGUUGAAGGGAAAUUCUCUGGGGCUUUGGGGAGUUUUGUGCGGUGGGUGAGCCAAGAAAAUACUAAUUAAUAAUAGUAAGUGUUGGUUAAGUUGUUGCUUGGAAGUGAAAAGUUGCUUAGAAAGGUUAGAACUUUAAGUGCAAAGAAAAGAAAAAAACCCAAAACAAUUGUUUUCCUUUGCUGCAAGGUGGGGAAGACUGAAAAAGUGUAACCGAAAACAGAUGACACAGAGUCACCCGUUUUCCUAGAACCCACAGGGAGGGGUGUAUGAUGCCAUCUCACAGGCAGGGCAAGUGUCUUUACCAGCUUCCUCCCGGUGACCAAGGCAGCCUGUUUUAGAGGGUUGUUUUGUUUGGGGUGUGGGUGUUAUCAAGUGAAGAAAGAUGAGUGUCAGACUUGUAGACACAGCAGAUCGGCAUCCUUCGCUGCCCCUUAGCAACUUGGGUGGUCAAUCUGAAGCUGUGAAGGUGUGAUUUUUCAGGAGCUGGAAGUCUUAGAAAAACCUUGUAAAUGCCUACAUUGUGGGCUUUUGACAUAUUUAAGGGACUGCUUAAGACGAGAUUAGAUGGGCUUCUCUGGAUUUGUAACUCAUUUGUCACAGAUACCUUGUGAUUGAAAAUCGUGAGUGAAGUGAAAUUGCAGUGCAUUUCAAGGGAAUUUUGUAUGUAAAUCGUGCCUUAGAAACACUUCUGUUGUCUUUUCUGUGUUUGGUCGAUAUUAAUAAUGGCAAAAUUUUUACCUACCUAGUAUCUUCAAAUCGUAGUCUUUGUAACAAGAACCAAAUAACCUUUUGUGGUCACUGUAAAAUUAAUACUUGGUAGCAGACAGAAUCCAUGUACCUUUGCUAAGGUUAGAAUGAAUAAUUUAUUGUAGUUUUAGUUUGAAUGUUUGUGCUUUAUAAAUGAUCCAAGGCUAGAGGGGAAACUAUCACUUAAAAUCCAUGUGGAAAACAAGAGCUAAAAAGGAAAGGGGAUGGGGAUUGUGGGGAGGGAGUGGGUGAGGUGCCUUUACUACAUGUGUGAUCUGAAAAACCUGCUUGGUAAUAAGCUGCGGUAUUGAAUUGGUAAAGUAAUACCAAUGGCCUUUUAUCAUUUCUUUCUUCCCUUUAAAUUUCACUUAAAAUUUUUAAAAUCAUGGUUAUUUUUAUCCUUGGGAUCUUUCUGUCUUCUGGGUUCCGUUUUUUAAAUGUUUAAAAAUAUGUUGACAUGGUAGUUCAGUUCUUAACCAGUGACUUGGGGAUGAUGCAAACAUCCUGUUGUUGGGAUUUAGAGUGUAUUACUCAUGCAUGUAUGGGAAAUAGUCUCCGGUAUGCUGUUGUGAAAUUGAAACUGUAAAAGUAGAUGGUUAAAAGUACUGGUGUGUUGCUCUGUAUGGUAAGAACUAAUUCUGUUACGUCAUGUACGUAAUUACUAAUCAUUUUUCUUCCACUUUACAGCACAAAUAAAGGUUUGAGUUCUAAACUCAUGAGAAUUGUUGUAUUGCUAUGUUACAUUUCUCGACCCCUAUCACAUUGCCUUCAUAAGGAAGUUGUGGAUGUAUCUUCAUAUUGUAGAUUUAGGUCUAGAUUUGCUAGCUCCAAGUAAUUAAGGCCAUGUAGGAGAGCAUGGUAACCACAGAUAAAACUGCUAUUAUCCCAAGUGGUCUGCAGACUGCUGGGUGGGGAGGGUAUCUCUUGGGAGUUGGUAAUGAUUUGUUUGAAAUGUGAUGAACCACUCAAGCCAGUGAAGGUGGGUGUGUGUAGGUGGGGAGUACUUUGCCAUAAUAUUUUAAAACAUUACCUGGUUAGAGUUCUAAGUGGUACUUAUUUUUGUUUGGUUAGGGGAAAGUCUGAAUAAAAACAGAAAUGGACACAUAAUAUGUAUAUUCCAUAGUCUUUGGGAGGCUGGAAUGUGUCUGGGAUUUGGGUCUAAGUAUAUGUGUAAUUCUUAUCUCACUAAAGAAUUUGGCUUUUUUCUUUUGUUGAGUGACUAAAACGUCUGGGCUUCCCUGUGUGUGCGCUACACUAAGCAAGCAGAGGCUGUGCAAAGGUGUGAGCAGAAGCACAUGGAAUCUGGAGGGUACAUCUUGGCUUGCAAACUGCCUCUGUGUCCUGGGUGGGACUGUUCUGUCCUUGCACUGCUGUUCGGUGUUACCUCUUGGGGUGUAAGGUUUAUGCUUACAGGAGACAAACAUUGGGCAUAAAAUGGAAGCCACUGCCAGCCUCUGUGCUGAGAAGGAAGGUGCUUGUUUCAAAGGGAGCAGCAAGGGAGGCUUGUUCUACUCAUCUGGGCCUGUUGGCCUGAGAAGGGGAGAUAAGGGCUGAACUGGGACUAGCCAGGGGGACCAACACAAAUGGUGGGGGAUCAUGACCUGAAGGAUUCUUUCCUUCUCAUGAGCUGCGGGACUGGCUGCCGUCCUUACAACUGUGUCUUAUUUGCCUGUGCCGUUGUAUCUGGGUGACCCCUCCACGUGUACACUACUGACAAAUGGGUUGAGUGCUGGAAAGAAGUCACUGAGCCACCCACCCAGUAAACCUGUCUGUGCUCAUGGCACCGCCAGAAUGGGGCACUGCUGUGUGCAGGGUCCAGGGCCCUCUUCCUGCUUGCCACUCCUUUCCCUGGAUGCCCCAGAAACAAUCCAGGCCUCCUUUCCUAUCUUACCCUUUUGCUUUGCUUUUACCCCAGCACCUCUAUAACCACCCUGUCUUCUUUUCAGAGCUCCUUGUUUCUCCUCUUGUUUUUUAUGAUUAUUACAAAACUUGCUUCCACCCUGGAAGAUAACUGCUAUAGAUGCCUCUGUGUAAAUGGCCGGGCGCGGUGGCUCAAGCCUGUAAUCCCAGCACUUUGGGAGGCUGAGACGGGCGGAUCAUGAGGUCAGGAGAUCAAGACCAUCCUGGCUAACACAGUGAAACCGCGUCUCUGCUAAAAAAUACAAAAAACUAGCCGGGCGAGGUGGCGGAGCCUGUGGUCCCAGCUACUCGGGAGGCUGAGGCAGGAGAAUGGCAUGAACCGGGGAGGCGGAGCUUGCAGUGAGCUGAGAUCCGGCCACUGCACUCCAGCCUGGGCGACAGAGCGAGACUCUGUCUCAAAAAAAAAAAAAAAA